rnacentral:rRNA from 1 species
AUGAACGCUAGCUACAGGCUUAACACAUGCAAGUCGAGGGGCAGCAUGGUCUUAGCUUGCUAAGGCCGAUGGCGACCGGCGCACGGGUGAGUAACACGUAUCCAACCUGCCGUCUACUCUUGGACAGCCUUCUGAAAGGAAGAUUAAUACAAGAUGGCAUCAUGAGUCCGCAUGUUCACAUGAUUAAAGGUAUUCCGGUAGACGAUGGGGAUGCGUUCCAUUAGAUAGUAGGCGGGGUAACGGCCCACCUAGUCUUCGAUGGAUAGGGGUUCUGAGAGGAAGGUCCCCCACAUUGGAACUGAGACACGGUCCAAACUCCUACGGGAGGCAGCAGUGAGGAAUAUUGGUCAAUGGGCGAGAGCCUGAACCAGCCAAGUAGCGUGAAGGAUGACUGCCCUAUGGGUUGUAAACUUCUUUUAUAAAGGAAUAAAGUCGGGUAUGGAUACCCGUUUGCAUGUACUUUAUGAAUAAGGAUCGGCUAACUCCGUGCCAGCAGCCGCGGUAAUACGGAGGAUCCGAGCGUUAUCCGGAUUUAUUGGGUUUAAAGGGAGCGUAGAUGGAUGUUUAAGUCAGUUGUGAAAGUUUGCGGCUCAACCGUAAAAUUGCAGUUGAUACUGGAUAUCUUGAGUGCAGUUGAGGCAGGCGGAAUUCGUGGUGUAGCGGUGAAAUGCUUAGAUAUCACGAAGAACUCCGAUUGCGAAGGCAGCCUGCUAAGCUGCAACUGACAUUGAGGCUCGAAAGUGUGGGUAUCAAACAGGAUUAGAUACCCUGGUAGUCCACACGGUAAACGAUGAAUACUCGCUGUUUGCGAUAUACAGCAAGCGGCCAAGCGAAAGCGUUAAGUAUUCCACCUGGGGAGUACGCCGGCAACGGUGAAACUCAAAGGAAUUGACGGGGGCCCGCACAAGCGGAGGAACAUGUGGUUUAAUUCGAUGAUACGCGAGGAACCUUACCCGGGCUUAAAUUGCAGAUGAAUUACGGUGAAAGCCGUAAGCCGCAAGGCAUCUGUGAAGGUGCUGCAUGGUUGUCGUCAGCUCGUGCCGUGAGGUGUCGGCUUAAGUGCCAUAACGAGCGCAACCCUUGUUGUCAGUUACUAACAGGUUCCGCUGAGGACUCUGAUAAGACUGCCAUCGUAAGAUGUGAGGAAGGUGGGGAUGACGUCAAAUCAGCACGGCCCUUACGUCCGGGGCUACACACGUGUUACAAUGGGGGGUACAGAGGGCCGCUACCACGCGAGUGGAUGCCAAUCCCCAAAACCUCUCUCAGUUCGGACUGGAGUCUGCAACCCGACUCCACGAAGCUGGAUUCGCUAGUAAUCGCGCAUCAGCCACGGCGCGGUGAAUACGUUCCCGGGCCUUGUACAUACCGCCCGUCAAGCCAUGGGAGCCGGGGGUACCUGAAGUGCGUAACCGCGAGGAGCGCCCUAGGGUAAAACUGGUGACUGGGGCU